rnacentral:rRNA from 1 species
AACCUGGUUGAUCCUGCCAGUAGUCAUACGCUCGUCUCAAAGAUUAAGCCAUGCAUGUGUAAGUUCAAUGAUUUGACCAAAAAACUGCGAAUGGCUCAUUAUAUCAGUUAUAGUUUAUUUGAUAGUCCCUUACUACUUGGAUACCCGUAGUAAUUCUAGAGCUAAUACAUGCGUAAACACUCGACCUUUGGAAGAGUGGUAUUUAUUAGAUUGAAACCAACCCGUUUCGGCGGUGUCCUGGUGAUUCAUAAUAACUUUUCGGAUUGCAUUGCAACAUUUCAUUUCAAGUUUCUGCCCUAUCAGCUUUGACGGUAGUGUAUUGGACUACCGUGGCCUUUAACGGGUAACGGAGGAUUAGGGU